rnacentral:rRNA from 1 species
AAUGAACGCUGGCGGCAGGCCUAACACAUGCAAGUCGAACGAGUGGCGGACAGGUGAGGAAUGUCUGGGAAACUGCCCGAAGGCGAGGGAUAACUGCGGGAUAAGGUAGCUAAUAACGCGUACCAUCGGAUGUGCGCAGAUGUGAUUAGCUAGUAGGGGGGGGAACGGCUCACCUAGGCGGCGAUCCAUAGCUGGUCUGAAAGGAUGACCAGCCACACUGGAACUGAGACACGGUCCAGACUCCUACGGGAGGCAGCAGUGGGGAAUAUUGGACAAUGGGCGCAAGCCUGAUGCAGCCAUGCCGCGUGUAUGAAGAAGGCCUUCGGGUCGUAAAGUACUUUCGGCGAGGAGGCGUUAUUCACAGAGGAAGCAACGGCUAACUCCGUGCCAGCAGCCGCGGUAAUAC